GGCCGGUUGGUUCAGUGGUUAGAAUGCAGUGCUUAUAACACCAAGGUCGCUGGUUCGAUUCCCACAUUGGCCA